GGCCUAUCGAUCCUUUAGA
rnacentral:snRNA from 1 species